UACAGAGGCCCCAAGCGUUACUGAGAAUCACUGGGUUUAAAGGGUGCGUAGGUGGUCCGUUAAGUCCGUUGUGAAAUCCCUGGGCUCAACCCAGGAACUGCUUCGGAUACUGGCGGACUUGAGGCUAGUAGGGGUCACUGGAACUGACGGUGGAGCGGUGAAAUGCGUAGAUAUCGUCAGGAACGCCAAUGGUGAAGACAGGUGACUGGGCUAGUUCUGACACUGAGGCACGAAAGCGUGGGGAGCGAACGGG
rnacentral:rRNA from 1 species